UCUGAGGAGCCUCCUCCAUCCAACCCUCAGGCCAGGUGGUGUGGAGGGACCUAACUUCACACCCUACUGCCAAGAGUGGGCAAGUGACUAAUCAGUGUUUUUCAUUUGAUGAAUGAUACAGGGAGCCAUUCAUUAAUUCAAGUCAAUACAAUGCUACUCAAUCCUGAAAUCUGGACAGUAAGUAUUGAGAAAGAGUUUUAAAAAAUUCUUGCCGGUAUGCUGAGUUGGUAAGAUAUACUUUGAGUUUCUCGUGGCCAUCUAACCACCAUCAAAAGAGACUCUGCCCCUGCAUGACACCAACCUGAUAGAAGCAAAACUAAAAGAUGAGAGAUAUAGAUUUCUGAUGUUUUCUCUGAGCAGCUAAAUCCAGCCAUACCUGAAGGAGAAAUAACUCUUAAUUUUUCAUAUAGGUAAGCCAAAAUCCCUUUACUUUUGUCAAGCCACAGGUAGAGCUGAGUUUCUGUCACUUGCAAAUAAUAGAGUCAUAACUAAAUGCAAAUAGCUUAUUGUUUAUUUCAUUACUGGGUGCUGAGCCUCUAAGCUUUUGCAUCACUGAAUUAGAAAACUUAAAUUUCAAUGAUGGUCUAUUACCUAAUGCAGUGACCCUGGUAAAUUCUCAUUUCCUCUCAACACCUUUGUUUCUUCACUUGUAAAUUAGGGAUUAAAAAAAAAUGGUAGUCCGGAGUUCUCAUUGUGGCACAGAGGAAACAAAUCCAUCUAUUACCCAUGAGGAUGCGGGUUCCAUCCCUGGACUCGCUCAGUGGGUUAAAGAUCAGGUGUUGUCGUGAGCUGUGGUUUAGGUUGCAGACGUGGUUCAGAUCCCACAUUGCUGUGACUAUGGCAUAGGCCAGCCCCUGUAGCUCCCAUUCAACCCCUAGCCUGGCAAAAUCCAUAUGCUGCGGGUUCAGCCCUAAAAAGAAAAAAAAAAUGGUAGUCCAGAGCAAAAGUAUGUAAGUGGCCAAUAAGCCCAUGAAAAGAUGUCCAACACCAUUAGUCAAUAAGGUAAUGCAAAUCAACUCCAUGAUGAGACAGCGCUUUAUACUUACUAGGAUGGAUAUAUCAAAAAGAUAGACAAUAACAAGUGUUUCCUAGAGAAAUUUGAAACCUCAUAUACUGUUGAUAGGAAGGAAAAUGGUGCUUUGGAAAAGUCUGGCAAUUCCUCAAAAGUUAAACAUAGAGUCAUUAUAUGACCUAGCAAUUCAACUCUAGAGAGGGGGAAAAAAUCUAUAUCCAUAUAGAUAUAGAUAUGGAUACAGAUAUAGACAUACAGAAAUAGGUAUAGAAAUAGACAUAUAGAUAUAGAUGCAUGUGUACACAAAAUUUGUACACAAAUGUUAAUACUGGCAUUAUUCACAAUAGCCAAAAAAUGCAAACAACUUAAAGUCUCCAUCUACUUGUGAAAAGGUAAACCAAAAGUAGUAUAUCCAUAAAGUGGGAUAUUAUUGAGUAAUAAAAAUACAUGAAGUACUGAGAAAUGCUACAACAUGGCAGCACCUUGAAAACAUUAUGCUAAAUGAAAGAAGCCUGUCACAAAAGACCACCUAUUAUCUGACUGCCUUUAUAUGAAAUAUCCAGAAGAGGCAAAUGCAUACAGACAGAAGCCUUGAAGAAAGGUUGAGGCAGAAGCAGAGUGGAUGGCAGACCCAGGGCCCUUGACAGCUCCUCGUGUUGUUCUUUUUAUUCCUUGCAUCAUGAAGUGCCCUGUCUUAGUCACUGGUGUGUCAUGUGGUAUAACACACUUGUAUCUAAAGGUGUCGGUCAAUAAAGUUGACGUCCUCCUGCCCCCCAAGAAAAGAAGAGAGAGAGAGAGAGAUGCAAUAGGAAUGGCACCUUCACGCUGGGUCUGAGCCCUGCUAGCUCAGGAGACCACUGUGGUGAGCCAGCACCUAUUCUUUUGUAACCCCAUGCCACCAAGAGGCUGCAACCAAAAAUGUUGAAAUGUUGGCAGAAAUGCAACAGGACUUGGUGGAAGGUGCUACUCAGGUGUUGGAGAAACAUAACAUAGAGAAGGACAUUGCAGCCCAAACUGAUAAUGAGAUUGAUAGGAAAUAAACCUCACCUGGCACUGCAUUCCAGGGAGGGACUUCAAUAGUUACAUGACACAUAAAACCGAAUAUUUCAUUUACUUCUAUCUGAGCCAAGAGGCCAUUAUUCUGUUCAAUUUUGUUACAAGAAUGGACUGUGCCACAUACCCACUGAUCCAUCUAAACACGAGGACUGCAGCCUAAAUUCCAAAUACUGGAGAGCCCUGCCAAAGGGGACAGUGAUUUUCAUUGUACUGUUUUAUACAGGGUCUUCUCUGUACUAAUUUGUUGUGGCUAUAAAACAAUUAGUAAAUGAUUACAUUUGUAUUUAUCUUCUAUUCCAUACAUUUCUGCCUCAUGCGUUUUCUCUUCAAACCUAUUCAUUUCAAAAAAAGUUAGCAACAACAAAAAGUUAUCCCAAAAAAGUGAAAAAAAAAAAAGGGAGAGGGAAAGGAAAAAGAAAUAAAUAAAUUAGUGGUUGCCAAGGACUAGGAGGAAGGGAGGAAGGGGAGUGAUGGCUAAUGGGUACAGAGUUUUUGUGUGGGGUGAUGAAAGUAUUCUGGAAUUAGAAAAUGGUGAUGGUUGUACAACUUGGUAAAUAUACUAAAACCAGUGAAUUGUAUACUUUAAAGGGGUUAAUAUUAUGGUACAGGAAUUAUAUCUCAAUUUAAAAAUUUUGAAUGGGAAAAAAAUGGUAGCCUAUUCUGAUUCUCACCAUGGCCAUUAUAAGAAAUCCAUGAUGAUAGUUAUAAAAAUGACCAUUCUUGGGGACAAUGAAGAAAAAAAUCCAUAUAAAUGUAAAAAUCUAUUAUUUUUAAAAUUUCAGCAAAUAUUGAGAGAAUGUAAAAACAAAAUUACCAAAUAGAUUUUUUCAGGUCACUUGGCUUCCUUGGUAUCAAGAAAUGGUCAACAGAUAUCUAGCAGGUGCACAUAAAAGCUAUUUGGAGACCCCUUGAGGUUAACAGCAUGCAACAUAUUGCCACUGCCCCAGCAUGGCCAGGAAUAUUAUUUCUGCCACCCUUUCACAGCUGUAUCAGUCUCCCAUUAAAUAUUCAGAACUUCCUUGUUAAUAAACUGCAUUAGGAGCUGGACACAUUGUCUGAAUAAAUUGCAUUGUCUAAAACACUGCCCCAUUAUUACAGAAAAUGCAAAAUGUAAUUAGCAUUCCUCUUUGCAUAAGCCACAGCUUCCAAAAAUGGUACCAUAUUAUAAGCCUUAAUUAAUAAACAAGAGUUGGGCCAUGACCAGUUACACUUAUCUGAAUUUCAUAUUGUGAAGAAAGGCCACUGUUCAAAUCCCAUUUACAAAUAUCUAAAUUCUGGCUAGCCUACAUGAAGACAAUCUAAACAGUAAGCCUGAGAAUUCUGUGCUGCUAAUAGCAUUGUGUUGGUACACCAACAAUAGCAAACGAUUAACUGCUGGGACAUAAACCAUCCUGAGCAAUGCUCAGAGUGGGAUGAUGAUAACAUUGUGUUUCAACUGUAUUAUAUGCAGCAAUUCUUCUAUUUGUUCAUAUGCAUUUCCCAUUUAAUGGAUGGAGGAAUCAGGGUGGCUUUUCAUAUCACUGUGAAGCCCUAAAUGUGACAAAAGAGAGAGAGAAAAAAAAACAAAAAACCCUGAGUUGGGGGAAAAAAAAGAUAAGUGUGAGGUGGUGCUGGGUGGGAGCAGGGGGGUACACCAUGAUGGAGUGUAAGUACACAGUUUCUUUUUGCAUUUCCAGCUGUGUGCUAUUGAUUUUUCCCUAACCUAGCCCCAAAGGAGAAUCUUUUAUGUAAGCCAUGAGCAUUCAACUAAUAUUCAGGACCAUAGUAUUGAGUAGCCCAGUUUACAAGCCUCAACUAAAGGAGUAUUUGCAUUAAACUAUAUCACCUGAUUAAAAUCUACCAACUCUACCAUCUUGAGAAUUAGAUAGCACCUGUUACAUUCAGCUGCAGGUUCUCUGCAUACUGAGAUGACCAUAAUCAGAGGGCAGCAAGGAGUCAGACCCACACCAGGAGAGGAAAGGGGGGGAGAAACAUGUGAUGUGUGUUGAAAAGCAGAUUGCAUUAAAGACUGCCAGUGCUCAAAUCUGAAAAGAGUCCUAAGCCUACUGCAAAUACAGAGCUGUGUGAACAUGAUAAUUCCUUCAACAAAGUCCAUAAUAUGGCUUCUAGGGGUGCUUUGAAAACAGGGUGGUGAGAUAGUGUUACAGUUCAGCGAAGAGAGACUGGCUCAGCAACGGAGUAUGGCAGCCACAGGAAGGCAGGGAAAUGGUCCCUGCCUCCACAGAAUCAGCUAGAACUCUCGGAGCCCGAGCCUGGGGGCUUUCAGCAGCCUGAACAAGCUGUCUUAGAUCACUGCCCUUUCCAUCAGCUCCAGGCACCAGGCACAGGCUCAGAGUCCUAUCAGUCUCAGCAGAACUUGCUCACCGUGACCACAAAGAUGGCAUUUGAAUCAGUAAUGGGCUGUAAGAGGCCACCUUCAUGCAUGUGAGGAGCUCUCCCUGAGACACUGGUUUAAGCCCUAGAAUCUCCACCACCUUGCUGUGUGAUCUCAGACAAACAGGCUCAUUCAUCUUUCAGUCAGAGGAUGGAGGCAGAUAAUAAAUACCUGUGAAGUAAAUGAAUGAGGGAAUAAAACUCCUGAAGCCAAGUUUUUUAACCUCAGUAUCACUGACAUGUGGGCCAGAUAAUUCCCUGUUGUGGGGGUUGAGUAUGGCAGAAAAAUAUUCCCUUCUCCUCUUCUAGGUUCUGUAGCUGGUCUAAGAAUUAAACUGACACAAAGCAAAUGAACAGGAGAAAAAAAAAAAAAAA
ensembl:lncRNA